UUUUUUAUUAUUUUUUUUAAAAGAAAAUUUUUUUUAUGGACAAACGGGACCUUAAUUUUUUUAAUCAUAGUUCCGUGGUCUAUUUUAAGUUAUCUUUUCAUUUAAGGAGGAAAUAUUACUCACUUCAAUCAUUUAAGGUGAUAAUAUUUGAUUGGGUAUGAAAUUUGAGAAAAAAUAAAAAAGUAUUUUUGAAAUUUAUGAUCAAGAACAAGUCAUAUGAAAUUCGCAUUAUUAGGUUCAAUUGGUACAAUAGAGAGGGAUAUUCAACACGGUACUAACCUCUUGGCCAUUGUUGAAAGAAGUGGAGACGAUGUCAUAAUGAGAAAGGAAAAUCGCAGCAAAAAUUGGAUUUUGUCGAAGAUCCUUUAUUAAUUGAGGAAGUAUUGGGCAAAAAAUGUAUUGAUUUAUAAGAGGUUUAAUACCUAACAUGUCAUAUAUUAAGGUAGCUGAUCAUAAUCGAGGGAAAAAUAUUUUAUACUACAACAAAUUUAUUCCUAGAGGGAUGCCAUUCCACCACAUCCACUGGAGUAACCCAAAUUUGAAUAUUUGGACAUAGUGUUUAAUGUUACCUCUUCUCAUAAGGAUUAAGUUGUAUUCUAUUGAGAAAGAGUUAAUUUUAUCAUAUGAUAAUAUGGUAAAGUUGUUCUUUUGUUUUCACUGUAGAUGACAUGUUUUACAUAUAUGCAAUUAGCAUAAGUUGGUUGGCAUGAGACUUGCAAUUGUCUGAUUAGAAAACUUCAAAUAUUUAUGUGAUUUUUCUUGUUCAUAUUUUGGGCAGCUUCAUACCUAAUUGAAUUGAUGGAUAUAUAGCCAACUAUACGAUCAGGCAAUUUGGAUCUACCCAUGCGAUUUUGGUGAAAGUAACUUAAUAUUUAGGUUGCUUGACACUUUAGGGUGUGACGAGUUUGAACUGGAUUUAGACGGAUCAAAAUAUAUAUGUUGAGUUAAUAUAAUUAUUAAAGAUUAUUUGAUUUGAGAUGAGCUAAACAAUAGAUAAAAACCUGUCCAACUCUGGAAAAAGAUUAAUAAUUUAUUCAAUUUUCAAACAAAACUGAUAAUUUUUUUUUUCUUUAUUAUGACUAUAUCAAACAUAUCAAAUGAAAAAGUUUUAUUUUUUUAAACAAAUGUUUUGGCAAAUUUUAC
rnacentral:lncRNA from 1 species